rnacentral:rRNA from 1 species
GAUGAACGCUGGCGGCGUGCCUAAUACAUGCAAGUCGAGCGAACAGAUGAGGAGCUUGCUCCUCUGACGUUAGCGGCGGACGGGUGAGUAACACGUGGAUAACCUACCUAUAAGACUGGGAUAACUUCGGGAAACCGCAGCUAAUACCGGAUCAUAUAUUGAACCGCAUGGUUCAAUAGUGAAAGACGGUUUUGCUGUCACUUAUAGAUGGAUCCGCGCCGCAUUAGCUAGUUGGUAAGGUAACGGCUUACCAAGGCAACGAUGCGUAGCCGACCUGAGAGGGUGAUCGGCCACACUGGAACUGAGACACGGUCCAGACUCCUACGGGAGGCAGCAGUAGGGAAUCUUCCGCAAUGGGCGAAAGCCUGACGGAGCAACGCCGCGUGAGUGAUGAAGGUCUUCGGAUCGUAAAACUCUGUUAUUAGGGAAGAACAAAUGUGUAAGUAACUAUGCACGUCUUGACGGUACCUAAUCAGAAAGCCACGGCUAACUACGUG